AGGCCGAUGGCGACCGGCGCACGGGUGAGUAACACGUAUCCAACCUGCCGUCUACUCUUGGACAGCCUUCUGAAAGGAAGAUUAAUACAAGAUGGCAUCAUGAGUCCGCAUGUUCACAUGAUUAAAGGUAUUCCGGUAGACGAUGGGGAUGCGUUCCAUUAGAUAGUAGGCGGGGUAACGGCCCACCUAGUCUUCGAUGGAUAGGGGUUCUGAGAGGAAGGUCCCCCACAUUGGAACUGAGACACGGUCCAAACUCCUACGGGAGGCAGCAGUGAGGAAUAUUGGUCAAUGGGCGAGAGCCUGAACCAGCCAAGUAGCGUGAAGGAUGACUGCCCUAUGGGUUGUAAACUUCUUUUAUAAAGGAAUAAAGUCGGGUAUGGAUACCCGUUUGCAUGUACUUUAUGAAUAAGGAUCGGCUAACUCCGUGCCAGCAGCCGCGGUAAUACGGAGGAUCCGAGCGUUAUCCGGAUUUAUUGGGUUUAAAGGGAGCGUAGAUGGAUGUUUAAGUCAGUUGUGAAAGUUUGCGGCUCAACCGUAAAAUUGCAGUUGAUACUGGAUAUCUUGAGUGCAGUUGAGGCAGGCGGAAUUCGUGGUGUAGCGGUGAAAUGCUUAGAUAUCACGAAGAACUCCGAUUGCGAAGGCAGCCUGCUAAGCUGCAACUGACAUUGAGGCUCGAAAGUGUGGGUAUCAAACAGGAUUAGAUACCCUGGUAGUCCACACGGUAAACGAUGAAUACUCGCUGUUUGCGAUAUACUGCAAGCGGCCAAGCGAAAGCGUUAAGUAUUC
rnacentral:rRNA from 1 species